rnacentral:tmRNA from 1 species
GGGGCUGACAUGGAUUUGACAGCGGGAUGAAGCGUUGUGUAAGCACGCAGAGAGUUGUUUGCCGCUCUCUAUAAUCUCAGACACUCACAGAUUUAUCUGGCGAAAACAAGUACGCUCUCGCUGCCUAAUCGAAGCAUAGUAGAUUACCGGCUUAAUCGCGGCACCAGGUGCUGCGACGAGAUGUCACUCAGGUGCUCUGGCUCCGAAGCUCCCUGAUCAAGUGGCACAGCAAACUCGGAGAUAGUUGGGCGCGGCCUCGCACGCUCAGCGAAAAACAUAGAGGAUAAGGCAUCGGUGGGUGGUCCAGGUAUUGCCGCUGCACGAAAAUGAAGUCUGGAAUAAGCGUGUAGAAAGCACAGGGUUUCCCUGUUUGGACGAGGGUUCAAUCCCCUCCAGCUCCACCA